rnacentral:rRNA from 1 species
GAUGAACGCUGGCGGCGUGCCUAACACAUGCAAGUCGAACGGAGUCGUUUUGGAAAUCUCUUCGGAGAUGGAAUUCUCGACUUAGUGGCGGACGGGUGAGUAACGCGUGAGCAAUCUGCCUUUAAGAGGGGGAUAACAGUCGGAAACGGCUGCUAAUACCGCAUAAAGCAUUAAAUUCGCAUGUUUUUGAUGCCAAAGGAGCAAUCCGCUUUUAGAUGAGCUCGCGUCUGAUUAGCUAGUUGGCGGGGUAACGGCCCACCAAGGCGACGAUCAGUAGCCGGACUGAGAGGUUGAACGGCCACAUUGGGACUGAGACACGGCCCAGACUCCUACGGGAGGCAGCAGUGGGGAAUAUUGCGCAAUGGGGGAAACCCUGACGCAGCAACGCCGCGUGAUUGAAGAAGGCCUUCGGGUUGUAAAGAUCUUUAAUCAGGGACGAAACAAAUGACGGUACCUGAAGAAUAAGCACCGGCUAACUACGUG